GACGAACGCUGGCGGCGUGCUUAACACAUGCAAGUCGAACGAAGUGGCGAACGGGUGAGUAACGCGUAAUCAACCUGCCCUUCAGAGGGGGACAACAGUUGGAAACGACUGCUAAUACCGCAUACGGAAGUAGGGGCUUGCGUCGGAGUGGCUAGUGGGAGGGGUAACGGCCAACCAAGGCGAUGAUCAGUAGCCGGUCUGGGAGGAUGAACGGCAACAAUGGGACGUGGGAACGGCCCAGACUCCUACGGGAGGGAGCAGUGGGGAAUCUGCCGCAAUGGACGAAAGUCUGACGGAGCAACGCCGCGGGAGUGAUGACGGCCUUCGGGUUGUAAAGCUAUGUUAAUCGGGACGCGGUACCGGAAUAGAAAGCCACGGCUAACUACGUGCCAGCAGCCGCGGUAAUAC
rnacentral:rRNA from 1 species